rnacentral:rRNA from 1 species
UUGGAGGGCAAGUCUGGUGCCAGCAGCCGCGGUAAUUCCAGCUCCAAUAGCGUAUAUUAAAGUUGUUGCAGUUAAAAAGCUCGUAGUUGAAUUUCGGGGUUAGUAGGUUGGUCAUGCCUCUGGUAUGUACUGGUCUCACUGAUUCCUCCUUCCUUAUGAACCGUAAUGCCAUUAAUUUGGUGUUGCGGGGAAUUUGGACUGUUACUUUGAAAAAACUUAGAGUGUUUAAAGCAAGCUAACGCUUGAAUACAUUAGCAUGGAAUAAUGAAAUAGGACG